rnacentral:rRNA from 1 species
GAGACUCUGUGCGCGUGCAUAUCAAUAAGCGGAGGAAAAGAAACUAACUAGGAUUCCCUCAGUAACGGCGAGUGAAGCGGGAAGAGCUCAAAUUUGAAAUCUUCAAGGUUCUACCUUGACGAAUUAUAGUUUAAAGAAGUGUUUUCUGUUGGAGUUUCGGUAAAAGUUCUUUGGAAUAGGACAUCAUAGAGGGUGAGAAUCCCGUAUUUGACCGUUACUUUCCAGCUGUGUGAUACACUUUCAAAGAGUCGGAUUGUUUGGGAAUGCAGUCCAAGAUGGGUGGUAAAUUUACAUCUAAAGCUAAAUAUUGGCGAGAGACCGAUAGCGAACAAGUACCGUGAGGGAAAGAUGAAAAGAACUUUGAAAAGAGAGUUAAACAGUACGUGAAAUUGUCAAAAGGGAAGCGUUUGACACCAGUGUUGUUUAGUUGAAAAUCAAUUCAAUAAUUUUUGAUUCUGAGUAGUAUUGACUUCAUCAGCUUGCUGCUUUCUUCUCAGAAAUUAUUGAAUGCACUUUUCAGUUAACAAGUCAACAUCAAUUUCUUUUGUUGUAAAAGGGUAAGAGGAAGGUGGCUUACGCUUCGGCGUAAGUGUUUAUAGCCUUUUACCUCUGCAAUCGGAGAGAUUGAGGACAGCAGCGUAGACUCCUUCGGGGUUAGAUACACUGGUGCUAAGCUAUAGCCUUGUAUAGACAACUUGUUGACUAUGCUCAGUCAUGUAGCUUACUCGCUUGUGCUAUUUUACCUACGCUUAGGAUGUUGAUCUGUAGUGCGUGCGC